AGAGAAGCGCAAACGGUGGAUGCCUUGGCAGUAAGAGGCGAAGAAGGACGUGGAAUCCUGCGAAAAGCUAUGGGGAGCUGGAAACGAGCGUUGAGCCAUAGAUGUCCGAAUGGGGGAACCCGGCUGCAGCGAUGCGGUCAUUUGCAUUUGAAUACAUAGGAUGCAAAGGCGAACUCGGGGAACUGAAACAUCUAAGUACCCGAAGGAAAAGAAAUCAAGAGAGAUUCUCCAAGUAGCGGCGAGCGAACGGGGAGGAGCCUGGCGUGAUUUAUUAUUGAACUGAGUAGAACAAUUUGGGAAAGUUGGCGAUAGAGGGUGAAAGCCCCGUAUACGAAGGUUUGAUGAGGAACUAGGCACGCGAACAAGUAGGCCGGGACACGUGAAAUCCUGGUUGAAGAUGGGUGGACCAUCAUCCAAGGCUAAAUACUACUUACUGACCGAUAGUGAACUAGUACCGUGAGGGAAAGGUGAAAAGAACCCCGGAGAGGGGAGUGAAAUAGAAUCUGAAACCGUUUGCGUACAAGCAGUGGGAGCAUGGUUUAGGCUGUGUGACUGCGUACCUUUUGUAUAAUGGGUCAGCGAGUUAC
rnacentral:rRNA from 1 species